GGGCAUGUGGCUCUAUGGUAGAGUGCUUGCCUAGCAUGCAUGAGGCCCUGGGUUCAAUACCCUGCACCA
rfam:Ictidomys tridecemlineatus contig031685, whole genome shotgun sequence.